rnacentral:rRNA from 1 species
UACGUAGGGUGCGAGCGUUAAUCGGAAUUACUGGGCGUAAAGCGUGCGCAGGCGGUGAUGUAAGACAGAUGUGAAAUCCCCGGGCUCAACCUGGGACCUGCAUUUGUGACUGCAUCGCUAGAGUACGGUAGAGGGGGAUGGAAUUCCGCGUGUAGCAGUGAAAUGCGUAGAUAUGCGGAGGAACACCGAUGGCGAAGGCAAUCCCCUGGACCUGUACUGACGCUCAUGCACGAAAGCGCGGGGAGCAAACAGG